CAAUAUGAUAUAAUAACCAAGUAUAUAUAAGCAAAAGGAGACAUGAUUUUCAUACACACUCCCUCUCUACCAUAACAAGCCAAUCAACCCAGUACUAGGUUGGGUUGUUAUGGGAUAGAGGAAGUAUGAACGUAAAUACGUAAUUAAUAAGCAAAAUCAAGACCAAAUUUGGGUAGACAAUAGACCAAAUCUAUUGUCUGCAUCGUUCUUAACCGCAAUAAACGUUGGUAGAUAGCUAGCGCACUAGUACUUCCGUGGCUAACAAUACAUUAAUGUCGUCUGUAGCAGCAAUGAAUGUUGGCAUAUGCUUCACAGUUGUGUCGUAGCGGUACGUAGCGCAUGUUAUCUGCAAUGAUACUUUUAUUUCCUUCACUAAUUUUAUAUUAAAAAUGCUAGUUGAUUAAAGUGUUUUUAUGUGUGCGCGCAUACGUGUUGUUACAUUAUCGGAAGAUGAGUAAUAAUAGGAUGGUAUAAUCAUGUCGAUUAUGAAGAGAAUAACACCAGAUAUGUAAAUAAGUUUGAGUGCUUGGUUUAUAUAUGAUUGCAUUUUAAAAAAAUUUAAA
rnacentral:lncRNA from 1 species